GUUUGAUCCUGGCUCAGAUUGAACGCUGGCGGCAUGCCUUACACAUGCAAGUCGAACGGUAACAGGUCUUUCGGGAUGCUGACGAGUGGCGAACGGGUGAGUAAUACAUCGGAACGUGCCUAGUAGUGGGGGAUAACUACUCGAAAGAGUGGCUAAUACCGCAUGAGAUCUAUGGAUGAAAGCAGGGGACCUUCGGGCCUUGUGCUACUAGAGCGGCCGAUGGCAGAUUAGGUAGUUGGUGGGAUAAAAGCUUACCAAGCCUACGAUCUGUAGCUGGUCUGAGAGGACGAUCAGCCACACUGGGACUGAGACACGGCCCAGACUCCUACGGGAGGCAGCAGUGGGGAAUUUUGGACAAUGGGGGAAACCCUGAUCCAGCAAUGCCGCGUGCAGGAUGAAGGCCUUCGGGUUGUAAACUGCUUUUGUACGGAACGAAAAG
rnacentral:rRNA from 1 species